AGAGUUUGAUUAUGGCUCAGAGUGAACGCUGGCGGCGUGCCUAAUACAUGCAAGUCGAACGCGAAAGUCCUUCGGGAUGAGUAAAGUGGCGCACGGGUGAGUAAUACAUGGGAACAUGCCCUGAGAUGGGGAAUAACGUUUGGAAACGAACGCUAAUACCGCAUAACCUCGCAAGAGUAAAGGUGGCGCCGCAAGGGCUACCGUCUCAGGAUUGGCCCAUGUCCCAUUAGCUAGUUGGCGGGGUAAUGGCCCACCAAGGCAACGAUGGGUAUGUGGUCUGAGAGGAUGAUCACACACACUGGAACUGAGACACGGUCCAGACUCCUACGGGAGGCAGCAGUAGGGAAUAUUGCACAAUGGGGGAAACCCUGAUGCAGCAACGCCGCGUGAGUGAAGAAGGCCCUUGGGUCGUAAAGCUCUUUAGCGGGGGAAGAGGGUUGUUAUGGUGAAUAAUCAUGGCAGCUGACGGUACCUCGAGAAUAAGCACCGGCUAAUUUCGUGCCAGCAGCCGCGGUAAUACNAAAGGUGCAAGCGUUACUCGGAAUCACUGGGCGUAAAGCGCACGUAGGCGGACUUACAGGUCAAUUGUGAAAUACCUGAGCUCAACUC
rnacentral:rRNA from 1 species